rnacentral:lncRNA from 1 species
UGAAGCAACACCUCUCUUGUAAAUAAAAAAACUUUUGAAUUAUUUAAUAAAAACAGGUAUAUUUCCAAGGAAAAGCUAUGAAUCAGACAGCGAUGGAAAAUUUAGAAUUAUCAGAUUUACCAGAACAGGUAUUUAUAUUUAUGAUUAUGAAUAGCUAAAUUCAUAAAUUCCUAACAAUCAUAAUAUGGUAAAAUAAGUUCAUGUUAGUUACUUUAUAGUAGAAUUAUUCGAAAAAUAGCAUGUUCAGAAGUUUAUUAGCAAAGAGGAAAAAAGAGAAAAAUCCCUAAGAACUAUGCCAUCCUAAAGGUGAAACCGGUGAGGCAAGAAAGCCGUGAUAGGGGAGUAGCCAGAUUAGAGGCGCUGUUUAAGGGAAAAGUAUCCAGAUUACCAUGCUAAUAGUGACCGAAGAACAUGUUAUUUAAGGAUAAUCUAGUAUAUAGUAAAUUAAAAUGAUCAUAUUUUGUUAUGUGUAUGAUUGAAGGGAAUGAAAAAGCAUCAUAUGAAAAAAGAAUACUUAUUUAUCUGACGAAAUGGUAGAUAAAUUUAAAAUACUUGUUUUGUAUAUACUUACGGAUAUAGAAAUUGUAGAUAUAAGAAAAAUCAUAUCAGAAAAAAUAUUUGAUAAAUAUUUUAUGACUAGAAUUAAUUAUAUACCACACCUACCUACCUACUCUUACAAAUACUUAUAUACCAAAUCUACACCUCAACCAUGAUAAAUUAUGAAAAUUGGAAAAUGGAUAUGAAAAAUAUACAAUUAAUAGAAAAACUAAUGAAAACAAAUUUAGAAGAAUAUAUGAGAACUAAAGAUAUAAAAUAUAUAGAAUUCCUUAAUGAAAAUAUAGAGGAAUUAUUAAGAUUAAAAUGGGAGAAAAUAUUUGAUUAUGAAGAUGAGUUACUAAGUACUAAUUGGAUAGAAGAUGAAUUAGAAAAUAUAGAUUUCUAUGGUAGAAAUAAUUCAGACAAUUAUUAUUCAAAUGGAUAUUAUACAAAUUAAAAAUGCUAGAAUAUAUUCAACGAGUUAGAGAAAAACAAAGUUGGCUAUACAAAGAAAUUAAUUAUAGAAACCAGCUUAGAAAAGGAAGAGAACAAUUAAAAGAAAGAUUAAUUUAGAUAAAUAAAACCAUAAAACAACUAGAAUUAGAAGACAGUUUAGAAUAUGAUUUAGACAUAGAAUUACUCAUAGACGAAAAGGACAGGAUAAUUUAUAAAAUAGAUAACCUAGAAUUUAAUAUCAGAUAUAGUACAAUUAGAAUAAAUUAUUACAAAGAAAUUUGUAGUAUAACAGCUACUUUAGGAUAAAAUGAUAGACUAUGAGUAUUUAAAAUAUUGAAGACAAGAUAUGGAAGAGAUAAGAUUAACAGAAAUACUUAUGAAAGAAAAUUUAAUUGAAUAUUUUAGAACAAAAGAUGUAGAAUAUUUAGAAUACCUUCAAAAUAAUAUACAAAAAUUACAAAAACUAAGAGAAAAAACUAAAGAAUAUUAAAGUAAAGCAUUUAAUCAAAUCCCAUCUAAUCACCCUCCAAGAUAUGAACAUUAAUAAAAUUAAAAUAAAUACAUUAAAAAUAAAAUUUUUUAGAGAAGUUAAGAAAUAUAUAGAUCCAUUAGAGCUAUAAUAGAUCUAUGUAAGUUACCCAAUUUUUCCGCACCCAUUAAUUAAAAAAAAUUACUUUUAAAAUUAUUUUUUAAUCCCAAAAUUUUUUUUAUAAAUACCCUACACCUUCAAAUCAUUUUUCACACAAAUUUUAAUUCUCUCAAAUCUCAUUCUCUCUCAAAUUUCAAUUCUGAAUUCUCAAAUAUUCUAUAAAUUUAAUUUCCUAAAGUGCAUACUUUAAUUUUUUUAGUUUUGCGAUUACAAAGUAUGAGUGAAAGUUUCUAAAGUCGCAACCUUCAAAUACUUCCAAAAAAUUUGAUAUUGUCGUUUUCAUCUAUUACGUUUAAUUUUUAUUUAGUGUAUUAAUUGUUGAAUAUUUAAUUUUAUUAUAUUUGUAUAUUUUGAAUUUUUUUUAGUUUCAUUUAUAUUAUGGAUAAAUUAAGAAACCUCGCUACUAAAGGUGUUAAAAUUUUUUGUCCCGGAAGUGGUAGUGGUAGUAAAAAGCAAAUUACUAGCGGUAGAGGUAGUUCAAGUAGUAGAUAUACUCAUGUGCCUCCGACACUGCUUAGUCAACCUUUUGAGAAAGAAGUAAGUGUACCUUUAUGUGUAGGUGCUCAUGAUAUGAAUUAUGUAGAAGUUCAUGAAAAUUAUGGUAUAGAAGAAGAAAAUGUAGUAGAUUUGGUUAAUUUAGACAAAGAUGAUGAAAAUAUUGGUGAAACACCCGUAGUAGGAAAUGCUAACUUUAGAUCUGAAUCGGUUAAUCUCCCUUCCCAUCCUUCCCGUGCCCCAAGAGCUCGGAAAACAACUAGUAUUGCAUGAUAAUUUUUUGAACGUAUAUCAGAUACUGAGGUGCAAUGCAAUAUUUGUCAAUAAAUAUAUAAGCAUAAAAGCGGAGGCAAGCAAGGGGGUGUGGGUACGUUAAUGAGACAUAUAGGUGAUGCUCACGAAAGAGAAUUAAAUAUUGUACGAGGUGGUGAGGAUGUUGGUGGACCAACACAAAUUAGAAUGGACCUAACAACUGAUCAAGUAACGAAGAAGUAUAAUAAAUUGAGGGACCGGGAAGAAAUAGCUAAAAUAGUAUUUGUGGGUUGUUUGCCUUUUAGUUUUCCUUCUUCUGAUGCCUUUAUUCAUUAUAUUCAAGCAAUUUAUAAUCCUAUGUUUAAUGGUGUUCCUAGAAGUUCUUGUCAAUCUGAUAUUUUUAGACUUCAUUCACAAUAUUAUUUUUAUUUAUCAACAUUGUUAAAAAAUAUUCUAUGUAGAUUGUCCCUAACUUCUGGAUCUUGGUCGUACUGUAAACAAAAACAAUUAUUUAGCCGUUACUUGUCCCUGGAUGGAUAGUAAUUUUGUGAUACAAAAACGUAUUCUUACUUUUUUAUAUGAUGAAGAUCGUAAACAUACUGGAGAUUUUAUUGCUGAUUCUAUUGUUAAAGUUGUCAGAUUUUAUGGUAUCGAAAAUAAAAUCUUAUAUAUUGUUUUGAUAAUGCUUCAAACAACAAGACUGCUAUAAAAAAAUUAAAAUCUAAGCUAUCUCCGCCAUUGCCUGAAAAUUUUCAUAUUAAAUGUACAUGUCAUAUAUACAAUUUAAUUAUAAAAAAUGGUCUUGAGUUUUUUAACAUUUAUAUUGAAAAAAUCCAUCUUGCUAUUGGUUUUAUUCAAGAAAAUAAUCGAAGAAAAAGAAUUAGAGAAUUUAAAGUUAAAUGUCAAGAAAAUGGACUUGCACCGAUAUUAAUGCCUGAAGAGAUUGAUAUUAGAUGAAAUUCUACGUAUGAUUUACUAAAAACUUGUUAUAAAUAUAGAGUUCCAAUUACACUAGCUUUUAAUCAAUAUUGCUGUUUAUUUGCUGAUUCUGCUGAUUGCAUGCUACAUGAUUCUGACUGGGUUGUAAUUAAUGAUCUUGUUAAGUUUUUAAAAAAAUUUUAUGUAGCUACGGUUGAAUUUUUCGGUGCUUAUUAUCCUAUUAUUUGUAACAUUUUGGCAUAUAUAGCCGAUAUUUAUGGUUUGCUCAAAGAAUAUAAAAAUAAAGAAGGUUAUAAAGAAGCUGUUGGUGCCAUGUUUACUAAAUUUAAAAAAUAUUUUUUUUCGAUUCCCCUUAUUUACUUGGUUGGUGCUAUGCUAAAUCCGUGCAUGAAAUAUAAUAUUAUGUGCCACUUUAGUACUAUUAUUUAUGCUAACUUAGAAAUAAAUACUAACAAUGAUUCUGAACAAGUACAAUCUGAUUUGUGGACGGUUGUAGGUGAUACGAAUGAAUACAUAGAAAAAUUAUAUAAUCACUAUGCUGACUCAUUUGAGUUAGCCGUACUUACAAAUAUCACUCCAACUGUCGCUCCUCAUCCUCCCGAGGAGCCAUCAUCUUCUAAAAGGCCGACACAUAGUGGUUUUCCUGAUUCCUUUUAUGAUUUACCUUGUUGGAACAGUGUUGAUGAUAGAGCUUACACAUCAACUUAUCGGGAAAAGCUGAAAUAUUUUCUUCGGUCGCUGCCAGAGGAUCGCAGAUGAUGGAUCAAUACGUUGGAUUGGUGGAGGAG